AGCGAACGCUGGCGGCAGGCUUAACACAUGCAAGUCGAACGCCCGUAGCAAUACGGGAGUGGCAGACGGGUGAGUAACGCGUGGGAACAUGCCCUUUGGUUCGGGAUAACUCAGGGAAACUUGAGCUAAUACCGGAUAAGCCCGAGAGGGGAAAGAUUUAUCGCCGAAGGAUUGGCCCGCGUCCGAUUAGCUAGUUGGUGAGGUAAUGGCUCACCAAGGCGACGAUCGGUAGCUGGUCUGAGAGGAUGAUCAGCCACACUGGGACUGAGACACGGCCCAGACUCCUACGGGAGGCAGCAGUGGGGAAUAUUGGACAAUGGGGGCAACCCUGAUCCAGCCAUGCCGCGUGAGUGAUGAAGGCCCUAGGGUUGUAAAGCUCUUUCGGCGGGGACGAUAAUGACGGUACCCGCAGAAGAAGCCCCGGCUAACUUCGUGCCAGCAGCCGCCAGUAACAC
rnacentral:rRNA from 1 species